rnacentral:sRNA from 1 species
UGCUUCUGGAGGGGACAUGCCGGUGGUUCUCAUAGCAACCAGCACCAAAUGAAAGAGUACACGUCAUGGAAAUCACCUGCUAAGAAGCUGACUAAUGCAUUAAGCAAGUCCCUGAGCUGUGCUUCUAGCCGUGAACCUUUGCACCCCAUGUUCCCAGAUCAGCCUGAGAAGCCACUCAACUUGGCUCACAUCGUGCCUCCCAGACCUGUAACCAGCAUGAACGACACCCUGUUCUCCCACUCUGUUCCCUCCUCAGGAAGUCCUUUUAUUACCAGGAGGUUACCUGAGGGGAUAAGUGCAUCCAGCCCUGUGGCUGAAGAGCAUUCCCUCAUAAAGCUGUACGUAAAUCAGCUUGAUCACGGUGCACGCAUGCUUGAGAGUUCAAACCGGCUUGAUGAAGAACACAGGCUAAUCGCCAGGUAUGCGGCAAGGCUGGCAGCAGAGUCCUCUUCGUCUCAGCCAACUCAGCAGAGAAGUGCUCCUGACAUCUCUUUCACCAUCGAUGCGAAUAAGCAGCAAAGGCAGCUGAUUGCUGAGCUAGAAAACAAGAACAGAGAAAUCUUACAGGAGAUCCAGAGACUUCGG